AACGAACGCUGGCGGCAGGCCUAACACAUGCAAGUCGAACGCCGUAGCAAAUACGGGAGUGGCAGACGGGUGAGUAACACGUGGGAACGUACCCUUCGGUUCGGAAUAACUCAGGGAAACUUGAGGCUAAUACCGGAUACGUCCGAGAGGAGAAAGAUUUAUCGCCGAGGGAUCGGCCCGCGUCUGAUUAGCUUGUUGGUGAGGUAACGGCUCACCAAGGCGACGAUCAGUAGCUGGUCGAGAGAUGAUCAGCCACAUUGGACUGAGACACGGCCCAAACUCCUACGGGAGGCAGCAGUGGGGAAUAUUGGACAAUGGGCGCAAGCCUGAUCCAGCCAUGCCGCGUGAGUGAUGAAGGCCCUAGGGUUGUAAAGCUCUUUUACCCGGGAAGAGUAAUGA
rnacentral:rRNA from 1 species